GGAGCAUCGGUGGUUCAGUGGUGGAAUGCUCGCCUGCCACGCGGGCGACCCGGGUUCGAUUCCGCCCGCACCA